UACAGAGGGGGCAAGCGUUGUUCGGAAUUACUGGGCGUAAAGGGCGUGUAGGCGGCCUGUUAAGUCGAACGUGAAAUCCCUGGGCUCAACCCAGGAACUGCGUCCGAUACUGGCAGGCUUGAAUUCGGGAGAGGGAUGCGGAAUUCCAGGUGUAGCGGUGAAAUGCGUAGAUAUCUGGAGGAACACCGGUGGCGAAGGCGGCAUCCUGGACCGAGAUUGACGCUGAGGAGCGAAAGCCAGGGGAGCAAACGGG
rnacentral:rRNA from 1 species